GAGUGGACAGUGGGGACUCAGAGAUGGUCGACAGAUGUGGCGAGUAUCGGGACAGCGGCGAAUGGAGCGGUCUACGCGAAUAACUUCAUGAAAUUCUGGUUGCUAGGCAACGUGGAUGCUUCUCUGGCAGUUUUUCUUUGAUGAGUCAAACACGAAGAAAGUAUGCUAAGCUGGUAAAAAUAAUUUUUAUCGUAAGGAAGGUUGACUGAAAAAUAGCAAAUCGUUGUUUGGACAGUUACAUAAUGUUUAAGAAGACUCGGCAAUUUUUGUGUCGCGCAAUUGUUUCGCACCUGACCUGAUAAGCUUCCGAUUGCAUGGUCUCAAUACCAGAAGCUUCUUCUCGCGAUGCAUUACAUUGCAGGGAUGGAAAGCGUAUCGUGAACACUUGUUACGCGCGUUGCCUCUGAAUUUGGCUUCGGCCAUGGUCACGAAUGAUUGACAGAUUUCGAUUCAUGAAUCAGUUAGUAUCGUGUGCGUAGAAUUUCGCGUCUGCUGCACCAGCAUAUUCCGAUCUAUGGAAUUUUCCUUCCAUUUUCCAUUGGCUUACUCAAAGGAAAAUUGGGAAAUGAGCUUGCUAUUUUGGUUGGCUUCUUUAUUGCUCCUCGCGCAUUCACGUAACUAACCACCAGAGAAGCCUCCGCGACGACGAACGUCACUCCGCGACCAAGAAUAAUGGUCCGCGAAGGAAAAGCGGGGAAAGAAAGCGAAGAAAGGAACCGCUUCGUGGAACGCUAUUUUCGCUUGGAUUAGAUGGACGAUCGGGGCAAACGGGACGAACAAAUGCAGCGGAAUAAUCAAAAUCGAAGUGUGUGUUUGCCAGAGGAUGGUACAAAAUGACCGGUAUUCCGAGAAAGUCCUUUGUUCGAAAAAGAAAAAUCUCUUUAAUUGUAGUGUAAAAGACGAUGAACUAAACAAAACGCCCAAUGAGAAAUAGUAUACGUAUACUUGUAAGACAUAACAAUAAGAAACAGUGUCUGUCAUGUCAUUUUAUUUAGACGUAAAAGAAGAAAAAUUGAUACAAUGAAGAACACAUGUUGUGAAGAGGAACUAAAGAAGGCGAUGAAAAUCAAAUGUAAACAGCUUAAGAUAGAGUGAAAAAGAGAAAAAAUCAAAAUUUGUAAAAAGGAGAACUCUUUCAUGAUGAAACGCAAGAAAUAUCUCUGGCAGCAAAACAAAUAAUCAAAAAUCAAUGGAGGUAUCUUUUGCAUGAAAAUAAAGAAAUAUAGUAUACAGGGUAUCUUAGGAGGGCUAAGAGGAAAGGAAAAUAAUUGGAUGAAGAGAAAGCUUACCGUGGAGCACCGGUCAUCAAUGAACUGUGAUUAGAGAAGGGUCCCCCAUAGUAAUAGGGCAAACUGUCUCCGUAGUAGGGCAUCGUGGCGAUGAUUAUCCAACAGAUUUACGCGUACAAUCGUCGAAGGGUUGGAAUUCGAAGAGGAAGCACAAACGGGAGGCGCGAACAGUGAGCACGAGCGGUUCGACGCUCUCGAAGACGACUGAGUGCGGCACGGAUCGCCGGCGAACGCGUUCUCAGGUGUUCGACGAGCCGUUCUCACGGUUCAGGGAGCCAACACCGACUGAGUCUAAGCCAGCGACCCAGUGUAAUAAUAGAAGUCUAGUAUAUGUGGCUUCCUAGCGUCUAACUAUACUAGCUGGACUGUAAUAACCCGUACAACGUCUCAUUGCUUUUCUACAAAUAUUUUCCGUGUUGUAGCGUUUACGUGACUCAUUGUCAGGACCAGAAUUGAAUCGUAUCAACCGAUUGUCAAACCUGAUGUAACAAGCCUUUUCCCAUGCGUUCCUAUGAUGAACACCGCGAGGCAUUUUACUAACGUAAAGAGACAUAAAAAUGGUAAAAGAGGACGAUUAUUGUUUUUCUAUGAUCGAACACGAUAAUACGAAUUUUUUUAAAUUUUAACGGUGAAUGUUUCCGUUUCAGAAAAUUGACAAGGACUCGAAUACAACGUAAAGAAUUGUUGACAGAAAUUUUGGUAAAACGUAUAUUGGUUAAAAUCACUCGUCACUAUCAUGCUGUUAAAAACACAAGAACAACAUUGAUGAAAGUCGUGAAGAAUACCGAAAGACGCGCAAUCAUGCAUCGUGAGGCUCGCGGUAUAACAUGCACGUCAAAUUGCCAGGCGACGAAUUUCGCGUCGUUGUCUCUGCAGCCGUGUAAAACGCGCAAUGUGUCAGCGGAGCCACGGAUUCGCGUUGUUUUGUAUUCGGCUAUCGAGACCCGCGCCAAAUGUUUCCUUCCUCGGUGCCUAUUGUUACUUGUUCAGGGAAACUUAGAAAUAGCCAACGAAUGGCAACGAAUUCUAUUUCAAGUCAAUUCUGCAACUAACUUUAGUUUCAAAAUUUACUUUAGAAGUUCAAUUUUACAAAACCCGUGAUACAAAUUUAAAUUGCUAUCAUGGUGAAACUUAAACAUAAGGUGCAUCAAGGUGAAAAGGAUAUACAUAUGUACAAGAUGAUUGUUUUCAUGAAAAUUCUUUGGCUUAAAUCUUACUUACCGUCGCAUCUGAGACCUUGUCGAAAAAAACCAUACAACAUGGAACCGCAAUGAUCACAAAAGGUCGGUGACAUGAACGUAUAAGGACGAAACCUGUGAGGCACAUCUACCUUGAAACGCUCCCUCAAGUACUGCCAUCGAACAAGUAUUAACAAAAUUAGAACGAUUCUGUGUAAGAUUAGAUGUUGCGUUACUUUGAACAAAUAGCAUAAACAGAUGCAGUGUGGGCUACCAGAAAUAACACAUAACCGCUUUUUAUAAAAAUAGAUAUCAGAUACUUUCACAAAAUUUCAGUGUCCUUACUACAAAAAAGAAAACACAUAUAUAUAAUUAGAUCUGUUUUCAGGGACACAAAUUUGGAUUUCGGGUUUUAAAUUACUGGAAAAUUAUAUGUCUGAAAAUAUUCGGUAUUUGGUAGAAUUUACCGUUGCAUCAUGAGCAAACGUUUGCACACGGAUUCUCGACGUUUAGAAAUAGAUAUAAAUUUUAGCAUACAAGACAACAUUAGGAACAGUGUUGUUUUCCAUGGUCAUGGAUGAUCUAUACAUCAUUAAGCAAAUAAACAAACAUAGUUUCCUCGAGAUAUACAUUGAACUUUUACCAAAAAACACCACUGAUUCUCAUCAAAGGAAAUUGACAAACGAAUAUCAAUUAUUCUCAUAAAUCCUAAAGAAGAUUUGUCGCUUGUACGGUGAAGUUGUAUAAAGCGGAUCCACUUACUAUCGUGUUUUCGGACUCCCUGCCACUUUCCGGGCACUUGGUUAAUAAUUUAUCAUGGCACUUCUUGUGCACCGCUGUUUGGCAGGCUGAAACGCAGGAAUGGAAUAUUAAUAGAGGUACAACGUGGCCGGUACAGUCAGAAAAAGUACUGUCUGGGAUAUAAUAUUUACCUUGGCAUUGAUACCCUUGCUUUCCGAAUCCCCUGCGACAAAGAGCACAUCGCAGAUUAAUUGGAAAAUACGCCGUACUUGAGGAAACCGCUGGCCGAUACUUGAGUGAUAUGCCGAACGGCACAGUGCAAACUAUUUUUAGAUGUCCGCACGUACAUCGUCAAAGCAGCCGUCUUUUACGAUAAAUCGAAACUCUUCGAUUAUUACUACGCUGUCUGAGAGCGAAUGUUCUCGAUAAAACGUGUGUUUGUGGCUGCUUUGUUUCCUCAAGACAUAUUUGUUUCAUUUAUGUUUUAAAAACUUUACCAAAGGAAAUCCUUGCAAAAGGCGCAGAAGGUCGGUUGUCUGAAGAAUUUUGCAACUAGUUUGUGACCUCGAACCACGUGCACCUUGUUAUGUUUCACUGCUCCUCUUCUUUUCGUAAUUGCUCCACCAAUGUUGUUUUUCUCGCGUGCAGGGGACACAGAUGCAGCCGCGAUAUCCCGUCGGGGAACCCUGGUUUUAUAUACAUAUGUUUUCCCUGUGGACGUUGUCGGCGAUAUUCUAGUUAUUUCAGUUGUAUUCUAAACUUCGCUUGUGAAUUUGGAAGUGUAAACUUGCAAUUUGCCAAUGCUAAUUCUAAAUCAAUUAAAUUUUCAUACGAAGGUAUUUUAUCUGGAGGGAUUGAUUAACAACAGAAGAUAACAUCGAACAGUCAUGGAACAUUCAACAAGCUUUACCUACCGAAUGGCUCACCUGUAAGUGUAUCCUUCCGCGCCCACGCGUGCCUGCGGACUCCUACGAGCCUGCGGACUUCUUCCAGCUCGCGGGCUUCUACGGUCCGCGGAGGACUUCCGGCCUGAACCACCGCCUGCGUUGCGCCUCUUCGCGUGAGCACCACCGGUUCGAUGUCACCUUCACCACUGUUCACUUACCACUGAUUUCAACGUUUUCGAUCUUUGUGCACCAAAUAAUAAUAAUAAUAAUAAUAAGAGCUACAAUUAUAAUUAAAAAAAUAUGGCUUCCAAGCGAGAAGGAAAAUCCCUGAGGUUAUAAUAAAACAGAAAUUUUUGAAGGAAAAGGUUAGAAGACACCGAGUCUCUUCUUCAGUCUCACUCUUCUCACCCUUGGAAAGAUCACACGUUUUUGAUCAAAUGGAUGUAUGACUAAUACUCGUGAAAGGAAACGGUACAUCGACUAUGGAAGUGGAAGAUGUCUCUUCUUUUCAAUUUCCUCUUCUUAACGUGCCGAUGUGAUACAUCGUUUCAACAAGAAUGUGUCGCGAACAAAAGUAGUAUUAACGAUAUUCAAACGUCAGCUACACGGUUUGAUUGACUCCACACGAUAUUUGAAUGCUGUACUUUAGUAAGUCUCUUUCGUUUUCUGAAAAUAACGACUACUGAUUGCUGUAAUUUAUAGAAUACAUACGAUCAAAUUGAAAACUAUGGAUCAUCGCGUGGAUGUUGAUGAACAUAGGAACUGGAUUUUGACGCCUAAAACGUUGUGUAGCUUUGCACGAAACUCUCGAAUCUAUAAAUAUCAGCCUGUUGAAUACCGCCCGCCAUCGAGUCGAGUAGCGCCGCGCGCGGGAAAUAUUAGAAUGCGCUAUCCGGCGCGUUUUCCAGCCUGGAAAAGCGAAUGGAUUCCAGAAAAACUUCUGGACAGGUUAAAAAAAUAGAUCCAUGUAAUAUAUAAGAAAAAACUUGUACAUUUCAGACAAGCUUGACUCUGGUUGCUUUUUUUUUAAAUAAGUUUGAAUAGUAUAAAAAAAGAAACACACACUAACGAUUGAUUUUUUUUAUGCAAACGAAUGUAUUUGUUCGAUGUGUAAUUAACGAUGUGUACAAUGAGUUCGUUUCCUUACAUGUCAAGUACAGAAAAACAAUUACUCAUUAUUUGUAUCGUGAAUAGAAUUUUUUUCUACGUUAAUUAAUAUCUUUGCUGUUCCAUUACUGCACAUUGCAUUAAAGAGCAAUUUCGUGAUUGACUCCCCUCAUUCCUCCUCGUGGAACAAACGAGCGAUUGUCGUAUUGAUAAAUAUCGUUAAGCAGAAAAUUAAAGAGAGAAGCCGUUUUAUACACAGCCUUUGAAAUACCGCGAGGAAAUUGUCCAAUUUUCUUCGGUACUAUAUACAUUUAAAGUAAAAUACAAAUAGUUACAGAUUCGAUCAUGGAAUAAUCUGAACAUUAUGUGCUCGUGAUAGAACCUUAUGUAAUGUAUGUUUCAAACAGGCUCACAACGUUAUCUCGUCGAUAAACAUGUGUAGAGCUAUUACUUUCGCUUACGGCGGAACUACAUCUUAAAUAAUGUAACUAAUCUUAAUUUUCUUAAAAGCUACAAUAUUUAUAUAUUUAUAUUUAUGUAUAGCGGACAAGGAAUAGAGAAACCUAAAUCGAUACGAACAUCGCUACGAUAAAAAUCCAAAUGAUUCUUAUAAAGAGACUGAUCACUGUAAACUAAAAACGCUGUUCUUCUUCAAAGCGUACAACACGGUUUCGUGACUGAUUUGUUUGUGUAUAUGUGUAUAUGUGUGUUCGUAUUAUGCUAUUAUCAAAACUCCCUAGCCAGUGGUUUUCUCGGUUCCUUUUAAAAAACGCUCUUUGAAAUUCGUGUAAAAGAAUUAUCGGUUGGGAAUGAUUAGAAAAUAUAUACCAGAAAGAAUUCGGCUUGGUAUUUUCGCCUUUUUUGUCUCCUCUUGCUUGUCUGCAAACAUUAGUGCACCACGGGAUAUAUCAUCGAAGUCUAAGAACUU